AAGGAUUCCCCUAGUAACUGCGAGUGAAGCGGGAAAAGCUCAAAUUUAAAAUCUGAUAGUCUUAGGCUGUCCGAGUUGUAAUCUAGAGAAGUGUUAUCCGCGCUGGACCGUGUACAAGUCUCCUGGAAUGGAGCGUCAUAGAGGGUGAGAAUCCCGUCUUUGACACGGACUACCAGGGCUUUGUGAUGCGCUCUCAAAGAGUCGAGUUGUUUGGGAAUGCAGCUCAAAAUGGGUGGUAAAUUCCAUCUAAAGCUAAAUAUUGGCGAGAGACCGAUAGCGAACAAGUACCGUGAGGGAAAGAUGAAAAGAACUUUGGAAAGAGAGUUAAACAGUACGUGAAAUUGCUGAAAGGGAAACGCUUGAAGUCAGUCGCGUUGACCAGGGAUCAACCUUGCUCUUGCUGGGUGUACUUUCUGGUUAACGGGUCAACAUCAAUUUUGAUUGUUGGAAAAAGAUCAAGGGAAUGUAGCAUCUUCGGAUGUGUUAUAGCCUUUGGUUGUAUACAACAAUUGGGAUUGAGGAACUCAGCACGCCGAAAGGCCGGGUUUUUAACCACGUUCGUGCUUAGGAUGUUGGCAUAAUGGCUUUAAUCGACCCGUCUUGAAACACGGACCAAGGAGUCUAACAUGCCUGCGAGUGUUUGGGUGGAAAACCCGAGCGCGUAAUGAAAGUGAAAGUUGAGAUCCCUGUCGCGGGGAGCAUCGACGCCCGGACCAGAAAUUUAUGGACGGUUCCGCGGUAGAGCAUGUAUGUUGGGACCCGAAAGAUGGUGAACUAUGCCUGAAUAGGGUGAAGCCAGAGGAAACUCUGGUGGAGGCUCGUAGCGAUUCUGACGUGCAAAUC
rnacentral:rRNA from 1 species